rnacentral:lncRNA from 1 species
AUUUGAUUAGAGUUCUUCAACUUUUGAUUAAAAUUUGGAGGAUCAAGACGAAUUUUGAACUUUUAAAACUUGGUCAAUAACCAUACAAAAUCAUCAUUUAUUGUAAAUUGAAAAAAAGUGUUAUUUUUACCAAUUCUUGCUUCAUCAUGCCUUGAUGUUUGUUACUUUUUGGCUAAUUCUUGUAUAGUAGGUCUUCAUUCAAUUAUUAGCUAAACAAUGAACAACUGGUUCAUUGUUUCAUACAACCAGAUGGUGAUCGAAUUUAUGGAGUUUUGGCUGCUAGCUGCUUUGAGAAAUCUCCCAUUUCUUCAGCAUCUUUCUUUGCAAAAAUAUGAGAAAAAUUAUUUCAAAAGAUGAUGAUUAUCAACUAUCUUGAUUGCUCAUGAACAAAGUUACCAACGACUUAUCAAGGGAUCAUUAAAUUAUAUUAUGCAGCCCGCUGAAACUUCUGUUGAUGUAACCAAUUUUGAUGUACUUCACUAGGAAUAUAACAUUUUUUCAAUCAGCAGAAUGCCAACUAAGACUCUUCACAUCACCACUAGGACGUCACCUUUUGGUUAAGGUUUUCACAAGUCUAAUAAUAUGCUUCUCUUAACAUGUAAAUAUCCUUAAUGCUUGGCAAAAUGAUGCUGGAGUGUGCAAAUUUUUGUAGCUGUGGCUUUUUCUGUUGUUCUCUAAUGGAUGCAUAGAAUAGGUUGCUCUAUCAAUUACUUGUUAUAAGGUAUGGGUAUUUAAUUGUGUAGAUUUGUCAUCCAUAAUGCAAUAUUUUGACAAGCUAGCAUUACCUUAAAAAUAACACAGCCCGUGCAUUACACGGGCAAAUGACUAGUGUGUGUGUGUGUGUGUGUAUAUUAAGAAACAUGGCACAUGCCUUUAUAGACUGAGAAACAUUCUUGGCUCUAAGGAGUGUUGAUGUCCCAAUUCGUGCAGUGGGCUGAAGUUUUGUUUGCUGAUGCUUUCUUAGCUUUUGAGGAUGCUGAUUUAACUGAUGACAAGGUAUGGAUGCUUGUAGUUGUUAAAGAUCUUAUUUUACGCUAAGCUUAGGUACAAUAAGCAAUUUUCCUAUUGAUUCUGAAUACAAAAUUACUUCGUACCUAGAUAUUAACAAAAUUUCUGUUAGGAUCUUCCUCAAGCUGCUCAAAGUAAUUUCCGGGCUCAGUUAACCAUUAAACAUCGAAUUCAAACACCAAACCGAGAGAUGACCGACCGCCGGACUGCUCACUUCCUAUGGUUGUUUUUCUCUUUUGCUUGUUGAUUCUACCACACACUUAGGAUGGAUACCACACAGGUAAGAGUCACAAAGCCUCAAGCAAUUGGUAGGGAAGAUAAAUCACGAAGAAGAAGGCAGCAGUUCUCUUUCUCUCUCGGGUUCUUUCAAACGGGACAAAGGAGAAGGAGUUUAACUACCAAUAUAUAUAUUAGUUCAAUGGCCAACUUAAGGUAAGUCACAAUUUGGUAAGUAGGCUUGACUAGGGUUAAGUCCCAAUAGAAAAACAACAAGCCACAAAGAUUAUUAGCCAUCCAAUAGGUAAAGCAACCCUAGGUCGGUUCAUCCAAAAUUCGAUGUUGAAUUUAUCGUUCAGUCAUCCAUGUCGACUGAUAUAAUUGGUUUUCAUCAUCGCCCAGGAGGUCGUUUGACAACAUGAUGUCUAACAACCUCCACCUUGGUGUCAAAGGACCUGUAAAGAAAAACGUUUUUCCAUUAGUGACACCUUUAACAGAAAAAUCGAUAAAAUUGAAAUCAUUUACCUGUACCGAUGUUUAGAAGCUCCUUGCAACUUCUAAACUUUACCAAUGGCAGCACUUUCAUGCCCAUAUCUGAAGGAUUAUAUUGUGUGUGAAUUUUUUCAAGUCUUACUAAUUCUUGUGAUAUUAUAUCCCCAAUGAAGUGUAACCUAACAUCGAUAUGUUUAGUGCGUUCGUGAAAAACAGGAUUUUUACACAGAUGUAUGGAUGACUGACUAUCAGAGUACACAACCACAUAUUCAUUCAAGACACUCAGUUCAUGAAGUAGACCUCUAAGCCAUAGAGCCUCUUUAAUUGCUUCAGUGGUGGCAAUAUCAGUGGUGGCAAUAUAUUCCGACUCUGUAGUUGAUAGUGCAACUAUGUGGUGUAACUGUGAUUUCCAACUAACACACGAAUUUGAUAAGGUGAAUACGUAAGAGGAAGUUGAUUUCCUACCAUCCUUAUCUCCUGCAUAGUCAGUAUCUACAAAAUCCUUUAAUUUCAUGCCUUCCUUAUUAGCACUAAAUUUUAGACCUACGUCACUUGUACCCUUCAAAUAUCUUAAAAGCCACUUUAAUACUUCCCAAUAUUCAGGACCUGGAUUAGACAUGUACCUACUGAGAGUACUAAUAGCGAAUCCUAAAUCCGGUCUAGUGCAAACCAUCAAAUACAUUAUGGAACAAAUCACAUUUGAGUAUGGAAUUUUACUCAUGUAUUCCACUUCACUUUCAUUGCAGGGAGCUUGUUCCUUAGAUAGAACAAAAUGGUUUGCAAGAGGCAACGUGACAGGUUUGCAGUCACUCAUAUUAAACCUUUUCAACACCUUUGAUAUGUAUGGAGACUGAUGCAAGAAUACGAUGGAAUUUGACCUAUUUCGUUCUAUUUCCAUGCCUAGAAUCCUUUUAGCCUUUCCUAGGUCUUUCAUGUCAAAUUCUCCACUAAGAUCUGCUUUUAUAUUGUUUAUCCACUUAGGAGAUGAUCCAACUAAAAGCAUGUCGUCCACAUAGAGCAACAAGAACAAGUAAUUGUUAUCAGUCUUGUUGUGUUGAAAGUAUAGGCAGUGAUCGAAUUUACUUCUUUGAAAUCCUAUAGUGAGUACAAAGGAAUCAAACCUCUUCUACCACUGUCUAGGUGAUUGCUUUAGACCGUAUAGGGAUCUUUUCAGAAAACACACAUAAUCAGGUUUUAACUUGUCUUUAAAACCUUUUGGUUGAUUCAUAAAGAUUUGUUCAUCAAGCUCUCCAUGUAAAAAAGCGGUUUUUACAUCGAGUUGUUCAAGUUCCCAGUCAAAGAGCGCAACCAAUGCGAGCAUCACCCUGAUAGUAGUGUACUUGACAACUAGUGAGAAAAUCUCGUUAUAAUCAACACCUUCUUUCUGUGUGUAUCCCUUUGCUACUAACCUAGCCUUAAAUCUUAAGGGUUCUGUAUUACUAGUACCUUCUUUAACCUUAAAGACCCACUUGCAAUCAACGAUUGAUUUAUUCUUAGGUCUCGGUACUAACUCCCAAGUUUGAUUCUUUUCUAGAGAACUCAUCUCUUCUUUCAUAGCCUUAAGCCACUCCUUAGAUUGACCAAUAUUCAUAGCCUCUUCAAAAGUUUUCGACUCCCUAUCAACUAGUUCUUCGUAACUAGCGUAUGCAAAAUCCAAUUCAGAUUCAUAUCCGAACCUUCUAGGUUCUCUUGUUUGUCUUCUCUCUCUAUCUCUAACUAAAUUAUAGUUAGCUAAUGGAUUUUCUUCCUCAGGAUGCUCUUCUAUCACUACUUCAUUUUCCUCUUCAGGUUCUUGGACCUGAAUCUCCGCCUCACUCGAAGUAUUAGGUACUGAUGUGUUAAAUUUUCCUAACUCCACCUUAAACCGAUUUCCUUCUUCACUUAAUUCAGUUUCACUUACAGGUUCGGUUUCGUUCUUUAGACAAGGCAUCUCACUCUCAUUAAAUGUGACAUCCCUACUCACGAUGAUCUUAACUCCUUUUUGGCUUCUAUCCCAUAGCCUAUAGCCCUUAACCCCUUCGAGAUAUCCUAGAAAGACACACUUCCUGGCUCUAGGUUCUACACUUCCUGUCUCUAGGUUCUAACUUUCCCUCACUUUGAUGAGAAAAGGCAGCACAACCAAACACUUUAAGCAUUUAGUAGUCACCCAAUUUUCCAGGUCAUUUCUCAUGUGGAGUAUCACCAUUUAAUGCAGCCGAUGGAGUCAAAUUUAUUAGAUAACAGGCAGUGACAACGGCUUCACCCCAAAAUGACUUAGGAACUCCAGAACUUAACAUCAUGCAGCGCACUUUGUCUAGUAUGGUCCUAUUCAUUCUUUCUGCUACCCCGUUUUGCUGGAGAGUAUAAUGAACCGUUUUGUGCCUUGUUAUUCCACUUUCUUUACACAUCCUAUCGAAUUCAGCAUUACAGAAUUCUAAGCCGUUAUCUGUCCUUAAAAAUUUGAUCAUCUUGCUAGUUUGGUUUUCCAUUUGUUUCUUCCAGUUGUUAAAGUUAUGGAAGGUUUCAGUUUUGUCUUUCAAUAGAUAGACCCACACUUUCCUAGUAUAGUCAUCUAUGAUAGAUAGGAAAUACCUAUUCCCACCCAAUGUGGGAUUACUAGCAGGACCUCACAGAUCAUAAUGCACAUGUUCAAGCAUGCUUUUAGCCUUAUGCGUACUAGUGGAGAACGACACUCUAUGGGGCUUUCCAAGCACACAGUGAUCACAGAACGAUAGGUCAGACACACAGUCAUUACCAAAUGCACCUUUUUCAUUAAGUAGCUUAAGUCCUUUAAUGCUUACGUGUGCAAGCGUACUAUGCCACGUAUGUGUGUGAUCGAUUUUGGCGGAAGAAAUAGAGGAGUUUAAUCCUCUAAUCACUUCCCCAGUAGUGAUGUAAAUGUCGUUUUUCUUGAUUCCCUUAAUAGAGAUUAACGCACCCUUCAUCAUUUUAAACAUACCGUUUUCAAUUUUACUGGUGAAGUUGUCUUUCUCAAGUCUUCCUACUGAAAUUAAAUUCCUAGAUAAUUCAGGAAUGCAUCUAACUUCCUUUAACAUGUACACAAAGCAUGUGUUAAAUUUUAUCUUUAUAUCUCCAAUUCCAGCAAUUGUAUAGGCAAAGUUAUCACGCAGAACUACUUGCCCAUCAUUAGAUUCUUGCAAGUUUUCAAACCAAUUCUUUUCAGACGUCACAUGAAAAGCCGCACCAGAAUCUAAUAUCCAUUCAUGCAUGUGAGAAUUAGUAGUUAGAUUUAAUUCAGUAGUGUAUGCGACUGGACUAGUGAUCACAUAGACUUCACCGUUUUCGGUAUCGGAGGUAGAGGAUAACACAUUUACCUCAUCUCUUUCCUUAACCUUCUGUUUUCCCUUUUCUUUAUGACAAUCUUUUAUAAAAUGCUCUGUGCCUCCACAGCCAUAGCAUUUUCUAGCCUUAGUUCUGGACUUUGAUCUAGGUCUACCAUUCCCCUUCUUUUUCCAACUAUUACUACUUGAUUCGCCACUACUUUGGUAUCCAUCAUGACUGGCUUGCCUAAAUUGAGUUCUACCCCGCAUCAUAUGCAACUCUCCAGUCCUCCUAUCUUGUUUUUCAGCCCUUAUUUCCAUCUCCUUACUCCUAAGAGAAUCUACGACAAUUUCAGGUGUUAACGUGUCCCUACCAUACUUAAUGACAUUUUUAACUUCUUUAUAAGAGUCCGGAAUUGAAUUGAGCAAGAUAAUGGCCUUAUAGGUUUCAGACACAGCUUCAUCACAAUUGACAAUAUCUUGCACCAAUUUGUUAAAUACAUCUAAAUUAUCGUCGAGAUCCUUUGAAGGAUCCAUUUUAAAGCUAAAGAAUCGUUCAAGUAGGUAGAGUUUAUUUGGUGUAGAUUUAAGCAAGUAUAAGUCUUCUAGUCUUUUCCAAAGUUCUUUGGUGGUUUUUAGUUUUCCCACUUUUCUUAAGACAACGUCAGACAAGUGUAAUAUUAUUGAGGUAUAGGCAAGCUCAUCGGCUUCCUCUUUUUGUUCUUUUGUGAUAUCAGGUGCAAAAUUGCCUUCGAUGGCUUUUGACACCUUUUGUUAGACUAAUAUGCCUCUCAUCUUUUGUUGUCAGAUAGAGAAGUCCCCUUUACCGUUAAAAAUUCUCAAAUCAAAAUUAUGUGUUGUCAUUGGUUAACACACUAAUUAAACCACACGAAGUAGUAUUGGGAAGCGUGAUAAGAUAAUAUCUUGUUAAUUCUUAGCAAAAGUAACAAUUAACCUAAACGCUACGUCCACCAAGAAAUACCAAGCACUUUAAAUCAAAAGAACAAGCACUCAAUUAACGCAAGUAAUCCUAGUUCCAGCACAAGCAAUGAUUACCCCUUCACGAUAACCCCAAAACCUAACGAUCAUCCCACACGGUGAUCUUGCUAUUGCUGAAUUUAAAUGGAUUAAGCCAAUUUACCAGAGCGGACUUAUCUGAGUCCGUAGAGUGGAGAAAAACGAGCUUGCUGUUGAGUUUCAGCCGGCGUCGCACCAGGGGCAAAAUCGUCCAACUUUUUCUGUGUAACCUGAAACACAAAGCAAAGUAUAUCAGCGCGUUCAGGAGAUCGAAACAAGCAAGUUACCUGAAGACAGCGUCGCCGGACAGCUGCCCAUGUGCCGUCGCCGUCGUCCACGCACCACCUCUCCGGGAGCGCCUCGACCUGCUGGUGAUGGGUAUGGCCUCCGUUUGUCCAACCGAACUUUGGUUUGUGAGUAAUUGAUAAUUUUCAAAUUCGGGUUCUAAGGUUCAUGUAUGAAAAUCAGCCGAUUUUGAGCCAAUUUUUGCUACCCAAGCUCUGAUACCAGAUGUUAGGAUCUUCCUCAAGCUGCUCAAAGUGAUUUCCGGGCUCAGUUAACCAUUAAACAUCGAAUUCAAACACCAAACCGAGAGAUGACCAACCGUCGAACUGCUCACUUCCUAUGGUUGCUUUUCUCUUUUGCUUGUUGAUUCUACCACACACUUAGGAUGGAUACCACACAGGUAAGAGUCACAAAGCCUCAAGCAAUUGGUAUUGAAGAUAAAUCACGAAGAAGAAGGCAGCAGUUCUCUUUCUCUCUCGAGUUCUUUCAAACGGGACAAAGGAGAAGGAGUUUAACUACCAAUAUAUAUAUUAGUUCAAUGGCCAACUUAAGGUAAGUCACAAUAUGGUAAGUAGGCUUGACUAGGGUUAAGUCCCAAUAGAAAAACAACAAGCCACAAAGAUUAUUAGCCAUCUAAUAGGUAAAGCAACCCUAAGUCGGUUCAUCCAAAAUUCGGUGUUGAAUUUAUCGUUCAGUUAUUCAUGUCGACUGAUAUAAUUGGUUUUCAUCAUCGCCCGAGAGGUCGUUUGACAGCAUGAUGUCUAACAAUUUCAAAGGGUGUCCUCAUCAAUGUGGAUUGCGGCACGAAAAAGAAUUAGAGUUAUUCCAAACAUUUGUAAUUUGUGUCUUAAUUACACGUCAUCUUGCUUUGAACAUGGGAGUUGCUAAUAAUAAAAUUUGGAAAAAAAGAACUAAUUGUAUGGAAAUACUUCAUGAAGUUAUGCAUGAGCAUCCUGUAUUGCUGAAUAAAGUACCCUCAUUGCAUAGAUUAGGCAUACAUGCAUUCUUGCCCAUGAUUUUAAUGAAUUUGAAGAGAUUAUAAUUUUUAAUGAAUUUCGUGAAUUUGAAUAUAUUUUCAUAGAAUUCAUAAGAAUUUCAUUAAAAAUUAUGAAAUUUUAAGAGUGAAUUUGUAUUUUUAAGCUUGAAAUUCAUAUAAUUUUUUUGAAAUCUCUUUAUCAAUGAAAUUCUUAUAAAUUCACAAAUUAUUGAGGAUACUUAGAUUUUAAAAGAUUUCAUUGAAAUUCGUUAAAAUCUCAUGUUGGAAAACCCUAGAUUUUAAUGAAUUUUAAAAAGUCAAUUAAAGUUUCAAUUGGAACCCUUAAAUUUAAAAGUACUUCCAAAAUACAUUAAAAUCUCAGUUGAGGAUACCUUUGUUCAUUCAUUUAUUUUUCACUACCACCAAAUUUAUCAGAAGAGGUUACUCAUGUGUGUUAUAUGGUCUGUAAUGUCACAAUGGUUGAUGCGCUAUAACAGGCGGUAGAAGUAGAAGAAACCGGCCAUAGAUUCUGAGAAACCAUUCUUGCCCUUGGAGGUGGAAAAUCACCCCUAGAGGUUCGACAUAAUGAGGCUAUUUCUUUUCUCAUUAUGAAGUGACACUAAUUUCUGUAGUUUACAUUGAUCUCAAUUUUUUAUUCUGUCGAAAUACUUGUUUCAGGUAUUUGUGGAAUUCCGAGGACGAGAACCCUCUUCAGAGGCACUGCUCAGGCACAAUGGUUUGUUACAAGUUGCGGCCUCUGCAUGAAUUUAAAGAGUUGAAUUUUUAUUAAUGUUUGGUAAUCAAUACUCGACUGUAUUUUUCAAAGAAGCUCAGAACACUAAUAAUUGAAUUCUUGCGCUUAUAUAUUGUAUCUUAUUGUUCAAAUACCUAUAAAAGGUACUCCAGUUUGAGAUUAUGUUAAAAAGUAUGCACGAGUUCUUCUGAAUUACAAGUAUCAAAGCAGUCUCG